GAAGGCAGGUGAUGUAAAGUUUUUUUAUGCUUACAUACUGAAACAUGAAUGUAGACUAAUAACUCCGCUUAUUAUCUGAUGCCUUU
rnacentral:snoRNA from 1 species